rnacentral:lncRNA from 1 species
AGCAACUUGCCAGUCAUUAGUCAGUGAACUCCCACAGGUCUCCAUGGCUUGGGGAUUAAGCUUUGUGUGUGAAUAAUCACCUAAUUAAUCACCUCAGGCAGGGGAUUUAGAGACCUUGAGUCCUUGCUCUUGGAGCAGGUGCCAGGUGUGAACAGGAUAUGCCAAGGUUUCAUUAUAUAGCUCAGUGCUUUCCAGGCUCUCUCUUUUGGAGGCCAGCUCCAGAUGACUCAAAGGUAUCAUCCUAUCUAAUGAAUUAGAAUAAAGCAGCAACUCAAAAUCUGGUGAAAACUCCAGAAGUCCUUUGAAGUCUACGACCAAGAUUGAAGGCACUGAUGUGCAGUGGAAGACCUUGGGCUAACUGGCUAACUUCCAAACUAAGAAGAGCUUUCACAGAGCAGGUGCCAGGGCAGCAAGCAGCAUGGCUUGUGGGGACCCAAACAACAGGUUCUUGGCAGGACGCCCAUCAACAUUGACUUCUUG